rnacentral:misc_RNA from 1 species
AACGCAUAUUGCGCCCUCUGGUAUUCCGGAGGGCAUGCCUGUCCGAGCGUCAUUUCAACCCCCCUCAAGCCCGGCUUGUGUGUUGAGCGGCGGUUCCCUUCACCGGGGGCCGGCUCCAAAUGCAGUGGCGGCGCCGCUAUCUCAAGGGUGACUGAGCACAUGGGAAACUUCGUGCUUGCCAAAAAGUCCCCGGUGGCCGCUUGCCCCCCCUAAUCGACGGUGGAGUCCGGUACCGCUUGCCGGGCCCGGGCCCCGCUGUCGUAUCGCUAGGUUGACCUCGGAUCAGGUAGGGAUACCCGCUGAACUUAA